CUAAGCAAGCCUGGGCAAUGGCGGGCGCCCCUCCCCCAGCCUUGCUGCUGCCUUGCACUUUGAUCUCAGACUGCUGUGCUAGCAAUCAGGGAGACUCCAUGGGCGUAGGACCCUCCAAGCCAUGUGUGGGAUAUAAUCUCGUGGUGUGCCGUUUUUUAAGCCCUUCGGAAAAGUGCAGUAUUCGGGUGGGAGUGACCUGAUUUUACAGAUGCCGUCCGUCACCCCUUUCUUUGAUUUGGAAAGGGAACUCCCUGACCCCUUGCACUUCCCAAGUGAGGUAAUGCCUCGCCCUGCUUCGGCUCACGCACGGUGCGCGCACCCACUGACCUGCACCCACUGUCUGGCGAGAUGAACCCGGUACCUCAGAUGGAAAUGCAGAAAUCACCGUCUUCUGCGUCGCUCACGCUGGGAGCUGUAGACCGGAGCUGUUCCUAUUCGGCCAUCUUGGCUCCUCUCCUCAGCGGAAUCUAGUUUGUUCCCAAGUUACCAUAUCUCAGAGGCAUAUAAUGCUGUCCAAUUCUCUUGAAAACAAAAAUAAUUCAAGCUCCAAUAAUAAAGAUUUUUCUGCUUUGUUCUUCUGAGUCCCUUGUGCUGAGAAAACUCAUCUAGCAUAUGGGUUUUGACUCUUGGGUCUGAAAAAGGCAGCGAUCCCUGCUAAAUUCUGAACACUGACAUUAGUCGUCAGCCUUGGAAGAAGCAACAAUCACAACGAUCUGCUUUUUAAUGAGGCAAAGGACCAGAAAUUAAGACUAUU
ensembl:lncRNA novel transcript